rnacentral:misc_RNA from 1 species
UUGCAAAAGCAGUUCCUCAGUAGAACUUGAAAACAUGUGAUAUAAGUAACCUUGAACCAAAAACAGAUAUGCAGAAAUUUGAUUUAGACACUCAACGGAAAUAGAACUGAAUUCGUAAAUCAAAAUUGUCAAUAACUUAAAUUUGACAAAAACUGAAAUAUUUCAUUGUAUGCUAGGUAACUACCAUCACAAACUGGAAAAAAAUUUCUUCCAAGGCGUAUGAACGAAAUAAAUGAAACUGCAGUCCCCACAAUUCAACUAGCUUCUUUAGCUAAAAUAUACCGUUAAGUCUCUCAAAUUUCCAACCAUUCAAAUAAGUCAUUUUCCAUCUUUUUUAGCAUAAAAUUGUCAAAAGCAAAGAAGUAACAAAUUAAUAAUAUUAACAAAAGAAGACAAAGAAGAACAUUGCAAGUAAUCCUGUCAAAGCAUCAUGGCAUCAAGUUUUUUGCAAUGUUCUGUUCCCCAUAGGUCUUAGCAAAGCAGCAGAAUUUACGCUGGCAACACAUUUAUAUUGCAAUAAUUCAAGCCUGCUGUAACAGUUAGUCUUUAAUUACAAAAUCUGCCUUUUUUAUCAACCAGUGAUACGUUAUUUUUAAAUAAAUUUAGCCAAAAACCAAGCUUAAUAUGAAAUGGUAAUGAUUCACAAAAUAACUUGGAUGAGGCAACUUAAAAAAUGGUGAUUGAAGGUGAUCCUAAAAUAACAACAAGAAUAAAGAAAUCUAUACUCUGAACUCAACUAUCUCCAAAAAUUUCAUGUAACUGUAAUGCCAUUGUGGAAGGAAAUGCAAGUCAUGAUAAAGUUUUAUUUGUUUCAUAUUACAAAAAGCAGAGCCAUUAUCCGCAAAGAACGUAUGCAUGCAAACUUGGCAUCCCUUCUAUACCAUUCUUGUAUCUCAAUAACACUCAUAAAAAAAACUACAUAACUUGUCUAAUACAGAAAGCCAUAAUUUACAAGAACAUCCUAUAGAACUCUCGCCUAUUGAUAAGAAAAAGUGCCUAGAUUAGUGAACAUCAUAACAUUUAUAACACUUAUGACUUAACAACUGUUUGAGGGACUAAUUUAUAUUUUAAACACUACAAGUUUUGUCCAAAAACCAACAUGAUGCAUGUUAGAAGAGAAAUUAACAGUAGGUGUAGAUAUUUGGCAUAAAUCUAUAACAAAUACUACAUUCAGCCUUCCAAUAUUUAUGACCUUGAUGUUAUAAGUAUAAAACCUAACAGGCAUUUCCUGUUUCAUUAUGAAGGAUAAACCACAGAGCCUAUGGCAAGUUCUCACUCCUCAGGCUAUAUCAAAGACAUAAACCAGGUGAAAUUGUCCUUCUGGGCCUACAAACAACGUAAGAUAGAGAUAGAGAAGCCAAUGUAGCCUCUAAUCAAGCGACCACUCAUAAAUCCCUAAAAUCCAGAAAUCAAAAUUUUAACAAAUUAUUGAUUAUUACUUCAUAAGGAUACACCAAUGUUCAAAACGCCACCUCCAAAUGAAUUUUCUAUACAAAAGAAUCACGGAAAGAUAAAAAGAAAAAUUACAACUCUAGUUAUGGGCACAAAUGCAAACAAAUCACAAAAAAUACCUCCGCCUUCUAUAUGUUCAAUUUACUUCUAUGGUCUUAAAUCAUAUGGAAUUUGCACAAUUCUGCAAAGUAGGAGAAACUGCAGAAGCAGAGGAAGAAGGGGAAGUAGAAGUGGUAGUAGCAGUACAAAAACUCCGAAUUCGAAUGCCAUGUUCUUUCCUAUUUUUCAUUACAUGUACCUCUAACUGGCGGAGGGUGUCGAUAAGGAGCAAUUGCUUCUGCUUGAGCAGCACAA